GAAGUGUGGACGCCAGUCUGCAUGGAGCCGACCUUGAAAUACCACCCUUUAAUGUUUGAUGUUCUAACGUUGACCCGUAAUCCGGGUUGCGGACAGUGUCUGGUGGGUAGUUUGACUGGGGCGGUCUCCUCCUAAAGAGUAACGGAGGAGCACGAAGGUUGGCUAAUCCUGGUCGGACAUCAGGAGGUUAGUGCAAUGGCAUAAGCCAGCUUGACUGCGAGCGUGACGGCGCGAGCAGGUGCGAAAGCAGGUCAUAGUGAUCCGGUGGUUCUGAAUGGAAGGGCCAUCGCUCAACGGAUAAAAGGUACUCCGGGGAUAACAGGCUGAUACCGCCCAAGAGUUCAUAUCGACGGCGGUGUUUGGCACCUCGAUGUCGGCUCAUCACAUCCUGGGGCUGAAGUAGGUCCCAAGGGUAUGGCUGUUCGCCAUUUAAAGUGGUACGCGAGCUGGGUUUAGAACGUCGUGAGACAGUUCGGUCCCUAUCUGCCGUGGGCGCUGGAGAACUGAGGGGGGCUGCUCCUAGUACGAGAGGACCGGAGUGGACGCAUCACUGGUGUUCGGGUUGUCAUGCCAAU
rnacentral:rRNA from 1 species